ACGGUCCUAAGGUAGCGAAAUUCCUUGUCGGGUAAGUUCCGACCCGCACGAAUGGCGUAACGAUUUCUCCACUGUCUCCAACAUCACUUCAGCGAAAUUGAAUUCCCCGUGCAGAUGCGGGGUACCCGCGGUUAGACGAAGAGACCCCGUGCACCUUUACUAUAGCUUUACAUUGCUAUUAAAAGUGUGAUGUGCAGGAUAGGUGGGAGACUUUGAAGUUAUGGCGCUAGCUAUAAUGGAGUCAACCUUGAGAUACCACCCUUUACACUUUUGAUAUCUAACUAUGUUUCAUUAUCUGGAACUAGGACAUUGUAUGGUGGGUAGUUUGACUGGGGCGGUCGCCUCCUAAAAAGUAACGGAGGCGUGCGAAGGUAAGCUAGAGCUGGUCGGAAAUCAGCUUGAUAGUAUAAUGGCAUAAGCUUGCCUGACUGCGAGGCUGACAAGCCAAGCAGAGACGAAAGUCGGUCAUAGUGAUCCGGUGAUUCUGUAUGGAAGGGUCAUCGCUCAACGGAUAAAAGGUACGCCGGGGAUAACAGGCUGAUGGUGUUCGAGCGUUCAUAGCGACGACACCGUUUGGCACCUCGAUGUCGACUCAUCACAUCCUGGGGCUGAAGAAGGUCCCAAGGGUUCGGCUGUUCGCCGAUUAAAGUGAUACGUGAGUUGGGUUUAGAACGUCGUGAGACAGUUCGGUUUCUAUCUGCCGUGGGUGAAGGAAAUUUGAGAAGGUCUGACUCUAGUACGAGAGGACCGAGAUGGAUAUACCUCUGGUGUACCAGCUGUUAUGCCAAUAGCAUCGCUGGGUGGCUAUGUAUAGAUGGGAUAAUUGCUGAAAGCAUAUAAGCAAGAAACCCUCUUCAAAAAGAUUUCCCAAUUAAGGCCGUGGAAGACUACCACGUUGAUAGGCUAGGUGUGGAAGCAUGGUAACAUGUGAAGCUAACUAGUACUAAUAGCCUGAUUGAUUUAUUUGCUUUC
rnacentral:rRNA from 1 species